GGCCGUGUAGCGUAAUGGUUAACGCGCUAGUUUCCGGU
rnacentral:tRNA from 1 species